rnacentral:tRNA from 1 species
GGGGAAAUGGUCUAGCUUGGUCUAAGAUUCGGGCUUUGGGAGCCUGCGGCCUGGGUUCAAAUCCCAGUUUCCCCA